AUAUCAAUAAGCGCAGGAAAAGAAACUAACUAGGAUGCCUUCAGUAGCGGCGAGUGAAGCAGGCAUAGCUCAAAUUUGUAAUCUGGCACCUUUGGUGUCCGAGUUGUAUUUUCUAGAAGCGAGUUCGGUAACAGCUCCUACCUAAGUCCGUUGGAACACGGCGUCAUGGAGGGUGAGAAUCCCGUGAAUGGUAGGAUGUCUGCUGCUAUGUGAACCGCCUUCGAAGAGUCGAGUUGUUUGGGAAUGCAGCUCUAAAUGGGAGGUAAAUUUCUUCUAAAGCUAAAUACUGGCCAGAGACCGAUAGCGCACAAGUA
rnacentral:rRNA from 1 species